UCCGUAGGCGGAUUAAUAAGUCAGUGGUGAAAUCUUUCGGCUCAACCGAGAAACUGCCAUUGAUACUGUUAAUCUUGAGUUCGGUUGAGGUAGGCGGAAUGUGUAAUGUAGCGGUGAAAUGCUUAGAUAUUACACAGAACACCAAUUGCGUAGGCAGCUUACUAGACCGACACUGACGCUGAGGCACGAAAGCGUGGGGAGCGAACAGGAUUAGAUACCCUGGUAGUCC
rnacentral:rRNA from 1 species